CGCUUCGACAGCUUCCUCCCACUCUCGAUCUUUCACGCUUCCUGGACCUCCGUCUCCUCCUCGACGAAGCUUCGGCAUUGAUACCACCGUUAACACCUUUCUGUUAAUAAACGGAAGAUAAAUAGUGUUACAAAAAAAUCCAUACGAUAGAGUUAUCACCUGAGAUCAGCUUGGAGAGCCGACAUGUCGCCACCGGCAUGUUCGCCCAAUCUUUUGAGAGUUUCCGCGAGCGGCCCGCGAAGAGCUUGCAGCCGUCUCCAGGAAUGAGCGUAUUGUCUUCUGACCAGCUCUAUUAUUGUGCUGGUUAAUGCUAGGCCUACCAGGAUGUACAAGCUACUGCGCCCGAAUAAACGAAGACCCACUUGGAACCAAGUCGCCGAAGCCGAUCGUGGUCAUGGUCACGAAGCAGAAGUAGAACCCUUCGAAAAAAUCCCAGUCCUCUUCCCAGAGCAUGAACAUGCCGGCUCCACAAGCAAGCUAGAUUCGUGGGUAUGCACGAAGUCACGGCAGCAGGAAGUUUCUCACGAAUUCUCAGACCAAUUUCGCUGACACCCUCGGCGAACAACUUUCCCCAAUCGGCGAUCACUGUCAAUGUCAGUGGUAUGCCAAUCAGAGCGAAGAGAAUGCAGAAUAUCCUGCCCCAACUGGUAGUCGGAAUUGGACGUCUUUUUAAGCCAAACUCUCCGCAACUAUAGACAAAGCCCGACAAUGGGUAUUUCCUUGUUCGAGGGCGUUGGCGGCGGGUUACUUUCCCGGCGCAUAUUAAUUGGGACGUCAUAAAAGGGAGAGGAGGGAGAACAAUCCCCUAACCCCGAGUAUGGCUGUCGACGAUCCCGGAAUCCAGGGUACCACGUCCCUUUCGGCAGUACGUACUAGUCUGGGAAAGAGGUAACUACUGGCAGGAACUAAUAUUCCCCGCAGGAGGACAGCUUUUCCUCGAGUGCCUUUCAUCUGCGAACAAACAAUCCUCCACGCGCGUAACGCUAGACAGAAGAAUCGGAGAUGGAGGAAGGAAAUUUCCCCCACGGUUUGGAACCUCACCUCUCGACUCGUCUCGCUAUUCAAGAUCAUUCUAC
rnacentral:lncRNA from 1 species